rnacentral:rRNA from 1 species
AUUGAACGCUGGCGGCAUGCCUUACACAUGCAAGUCGAACGGCAGCACGGGAGCAAUCCUGGUGGCGAGUGGCGAACGGGUGAGUAAUAUAUCGGAACGUGCCCAGUCUGGGGAUAACGUAGCGAAAGCUACGCUAAUACCGCAUACGAUCUAUGGAUGAAAGCGGGGGAUCGCAAGACCUCGCGCGAUUGGAGCGGCCGAUAUCAGAUUAGGUAGUUGGUGAGGUAAAGGCGUCACCAAGCCGACGAUCUGUAGCUGGUCUGAGAGGACGACCAGCCACACUGGACUGAGACACGGCCC